GACGGGCCCCGCACAAGCAGCGGAGCGUGUGGUUUAAUUCGUUGCUACACGAAGAACCUUACCUGGGUUUGACAUAAUGGUGGUAGGGAUCCGAAAGGUGACCGACCCUUCGGGGAGCCAUUUACAGGUGUUGCAUGGCUGUCGUCAGCUCGUGUCGUGAGAUGUUCGGUUAAGUCCGCUAACGAGCGCAACCCUCGCUGUGUGUUAUAUGUGUCACACAGGACUGCUGGUAUUAAGCCGGAGGAAGUGGGACGACGUCAAGUCAGCAUGACCUUUAUAUCCAGGGCUACACACACGCUACAAUGGUCAGUACAAUGGGUUGCCAAGCCGCGAGGCGGAGCCAAUCCUAAAAAGCUGGCCUCAGUUCAGAUUGCAGUCUGAAACUCGACUGCAUGAAGUCGGAGUUGCUAGUAAACGCAGGUCAGCUAUACUGCGUUGAAUACGUUCCCGGGGCUU
rnacentral:rRNA from 1 species